GGAAUACCAUUACCUGAUUGGUUUACAAGCAGUUCGCUUCGCUCGUGUUUUAAUAUUUUCUGCUAACUUGUAUAGCUAACGGUAAAUCACAAAAAAGAAAUAAUAACAUAACAUUGUAUUGGCUGUCAAUCAUGAUGGAAGAGUAGACAAGUUAAGUUACAGCAUGUCCACCAUCUCUUGUGGGGGUUAUGCAUUAAGCCACAUUGUGCCUCAUAUACUGUAAAUGUUAGACCCAGUGACAGGCUGGCUGACAAUGCUUCAUGCAUAAUACUUAGUAAGGAGGACAUAAUAUUUUUGACUCAUGGCUGAAGUUAAGUUUCUCCAGCUCUCCCCAGGUUGGCAAAAAAUGAAUCAGAUUGAUGCUUUAAAAUAUGGAAUAUUCCAAAUUUUCUUCCAGGGGGAGCAAGCCUCCAGACCCCCCUACAGGGGUAAUAUCCUUCUCACCUUUUUCACCCCUGACCUGUUUCCAUGCCUGUACAUAGAUAGAUAGAUAGAUAGAUAGAUAGAUAGAUAACUUUAUUAAUCCCACAAUGGGGAAAUUCACUUGUCACAGCAACAUUUGAGUGAAAUAAAUACAGAUAUAAAAAACAGGAACAUUUGCAUACAGCAGGUCCAAGGUCUUAUUGUCUCUGCUGGUGCAUGUGACACACUGGUGGAAGGUUGGGAGUGUGGACGAGAGAGAAACGUGGUUGAAGGCCCCUGUGAUGAUGAUGAUGAUGAAGGCCCCUGUGAUGAUGAUGAUGAUGAAGGCCUCCGGGUGUUUCGUUUGUAGUCCUGCAGUCACAGUGUGGAUGACGUCACACGCUGCUUCUGCUUUCUCAAACGGAGGAAUAUAGACAGUGAUGAUGAUGAUGAUGAUGAUGAAUAUAGUCAGUGAUGAUGAUAACACUGGAAAGUUCCCGUGGCAGAUAACACGGACGGUGACAGCUCGAUGUCCGGGCUGCAGACUCUCUUUCACACAGACGUGCCCGGUUGUACCACCUGUUGUUGAUGAGCACGGACAGUCCCCCUCCUUUCUUCAUGCCGGUCCCGGUGCUGUCCCUGUCAGCUCGAACCGUCUGGAAGCCGGGAAUGGUGACGUUGGAGUCCGGUAUCUGCUCGUGUAGCCACGUUUGUUUCCAGUGAUGACUGCAGGGAUGAAGAGUUUAAAGCUCCUCUUCUUCAUCCUCCGUUUAACCCCCGCUCUGCAGCCUCACCGUCUCCUCAGCUCCUCCGGUAUGGAGGCUCUCUCUCCGGUCAGGAUGCUCGGGUACCUCAGGGCGAUCAUCUGGUCUCGGGUGUAAACAGUGCUCAAAAACGCCAAAAAAGUAUUUAGGCGACGUGAACAAAGUAGUGAGAGAGUAAGAGAACAGUUAAAAAUAGCAAAAGACACACUAAAACUCCAACAAUGAUAGGAGCUGCCUUGACAGGCUGCUGUUGUCUGAGUCACUUGACCGUGGUGCUGGCUGCGAGAGCGGACGGGACAAAACUGAAACCUUAUGUGGCGGGAAUAUGAGAGCCCCAGCUCGGCGCUUACUCGUAGCCUGGGUCCUUAAAGCGUGGGACGAGCUGGAUGCGGAGCUGGUGAAAAACUCCUUCAAGGUGUGUGUGUGUGUGUGUGUGUGUGUGUGUGUGUGUGUGUGUGUGUGUGUGUGAGCCCGCGCGCAUUGUGGUCUACCUGAUUUUUAGUUUUUUCCAUACACCACUGAUUUGUUAAAACCUGUGCAAAUAAAACCUGAAAUACCACAACUAUGGUAAAACCUUCAGCUUUCAUUCUUUCUAAGGUGCGCUCUCUCUCUCUCUCUCUCUCUCUCUCUCUCUCUCUCUCUCUCUCUCUCUCUCUCUCUCUCUCUCUCUCUCUCUCUCUCUGCACACCAGGUUGGCCUAGAUGCGCUGUCUCUCUCAGAGCUAGACUAAGUGAAUGAUUAGUAAUUCAUAUGUUGUUUGAUAUCCUAAUUUUUUUUUUUUUUUACAAAUAAGAUUGAUACUGUUUUAAAUAAACAAUAGUAUUUCCCAUAUUUGGUGAGCAAGAAUUUUGUGCUAAAUUACUUAAACGCCUGUCUCUAAUAGAUGCACGUCCCCAAUAGAGGCAGGGUGCGUUCAGUGAUUUAAGCAAAUAAACACCCGGGCUAUUAUUAUUAGUUUUACGGUAGUUCAUUUUAGGAGGGGCAUUGCAGUCAGACAUAAUUAAAUCUCUUAAUCAUAAAACCAUUCAGAAUAAACUAAAUUAAGUCCUCAAUCUUAUAGUUUCUGACCAACAGACACUUUUUAACUCCUGGUAUAAUUUUUCCAUGUAAAUUCAUUAUUGAGGCCACAUAUACGAUGAGAAGAAGGUUAGGAGCCAGGAGUCAACAGAAACAACCUCUCCCUGUUCCUUUAUGUGCACACACACAUUAAACACUGGUGGACACACACUGUCCUUUGAGGAGGAAAGUGUCUCCUCCCUCGUCUACAGAGGUGCAGCUGGACAUUUGAUGAUAUGUAUUUUAACCUAACUGCUGUUUCUUGUUUGUUCUUUUGUUUUCCUCACAGCAAACUCACAGUUGAUUUGUUCACAUCAA